CGGAGGCAGAGGAGAAUUCGAGGUCGAGGAAGUUAUCGUCGGCGGUGGAGAACAAAUCGUCAUCCAUUAGAGAAGGGACAAGAGCUAGGGUUUUGAGGAAGAAAGAGCGAGCGAGGGAUUUGCAGAGUCGGAAAGUGGAGAGAGAAAAGUAAGAAAGCUUGAGAGAGAGGAAGCGGGUGGAUUCGGUGAUUAGCGAGAGACGCAGCUGCUGUGCGAGACGGUUCAUAGAGACAUC
rnacentral:misc_RNA from 1 species